CAUAAAACACAUAUUUUGUAAAUCACUUAUAUAAUUCUAAUUCCUAUUACAAAUAAAAAUUGUAUAUAAAUAUUUUAAGUUUGGUUUGAAAAAAGUAUAUACUUCUGAUAAGGAAUACACAACUCAUAAUAUCAAAUGUGAAAUCUAUGUAAAAAAGUAUACUCAGUUAAACUAAAUCAAGAUGAUAGUGGUAAAAGUCUUUAACUCUUAAAUAUCACUCCGUAUCUAUUUAUUUUAAGAGUGGCUUUUCAGUUUCUUAUUAGAGGAUGCAAACAUUUUAAAACGCCAAUUUCUGCCACCAGACACCAACCCAUUAUUGUUUAAACAAAUUUCCACCAUAAUUCAUAAGCAUUUUUUUCUUGAAAUUACAUAUAAUACUACCUAUAAGUUAUAAUUAAUACCAAUAUUUUAUAAACAGAGUUGGGUAACAUUUUAUAAAAUGAUUAUUCAGAUGAAAAUGUCUUAGAAUAAUUGUAAAAACUGAUUCAAAAUAAAAAUUGCAAAAAAAAAAAAAUGAAAAAAUAAUUUUCAUUUAUUUUAUUUGGUUAAACAUUGGUUAAUGAUAUACAUUAAAAUACAAACAUAUUAAAAACAAUACUUAGCCUUGUAAUUUUAAGUUAUAC